rnacentral:misc_RNA from 1 species
AUGGAGUCGAUAGUGUUUUGUUCCGAGUUUUGUAAACACGACUUAAUGACGUUUAUUGCAGGUCGUCCGCACUACCCGUGCUGGAACCAAUGAAGUGGCAUCGCGACUUGCCGCCUGUAGGCUGUCACCAGUAGCGUUACUGUGCUUCCCUGUGGUCCUGGCAUGUGCUGCAGUGCCAUGUGUUGAGCCAUGUACAGCGGCGGUGUCAUGGAGGAACGGAGGGACUAUGUGACUCUUUCCCUGCCGGCCGUACUAUUGCCUCCUCCUGCUGCUGCUGCACCUUCCCGCUCCUGGAGGAGGCGAUGGAAACAACUUCCACGUCUGCAGAGGGUGGUGGUGGUGAUGGUUGCUGUAGGCCUACUGGUUGGAGUAGCACUGCUAGUGACUACCUACCUGUCAGGUCCUUCGCACUCAUCCUCCCUCUCCCACACACCUCAACCUUCCCAUUUCUCUUACAAGUUGGAGAAUAAUCUUACCCCACCUCCAGUAAUGGUACAUCUCCCCGAACCCCAUCAAGAUAAGGUGGAGACAGUACCAGAGGAGCAGGCCCUGAAGGAUGAUCCAGGACAUGAUGGCCGGGACCAGAUAGUGCCACCACCAGGAUUACCUCAAAAAAGAUCAGCAAGGCAGGAGGCAGUAGUUGCAGCCAUGAAGCAUGCCUGGAAAGGAUAUAAGACUUAUGCAUGGGGCCAUGAUCACUUGAGACCUGUCUCACAGACUCGUAGUGAUUGGCUCCGCCUUGGUCUCACCCUUGUGGAUGCCCUUGACACUCUCUGGAUCAUGGACUUACGAGAAGAGUUCAGUGAGGCAAGAGAAUGGGUAGCAACACAACUCAACUUUAAUCUCAACCAGGAUGUGAAUCUCUUUGAGACAACCAUCAGGGUUUUAGGUGGCCUUCUCUCCACCUAUCACCUCACAAAGGAGCAACUUUUCCUUGACAAGGCUGUUGACCUUGGUGAGAGGCUGGUGUCAGGAUUCAACAGUGGCUCUGGAGUUCCCUUUGCUGAUGUAAAUUUGUAUUCACGUCGUGCCUCCAAGCCAAAGUGGGGGCCAGACUCCUCAACGUCUGAGGUCACUACCAUACAGCUGGAGUUCCGAGACCUCUCUCGAAUCACUGGCAAUCCUAUCUUUGAGGAGAAGGCCAGCUUUGUGAGUGAGCACAUUCACAAACUUCCUAAGGUUGAAGGUUUGGUCCCCAUCUUCAUUAAUGCCCAGACUGGCCAGUGGCGGUCCCACUCCACCAUCACCCUUGGGGCACGAGGGGACUCUUACUAUGAGUACCUCCUCAAACAGUGGAUACAAACUGGACGGACUGUGGAUUACCUGCGAAUGGACUACAAUGAAAGUGUAUCAGGUAUGGAGCAUCUGCUGGCAGCACGUACACAACCUUCUAAGCUCCUCUUUUUUGGUGAACUUCACGGUAGCACCAAAAACUUUGUCAAUAAGAUGGAUGAACUCACUUGCUACUUGCCAGGAACAUUGGCCCUUGGUGUCCACUAUGGAAUGCCUCGACAUCAUCUGGACUUGGCACAGGACCUCAUAUACACCUGUGUUCAGACAUGGCUCAGGCAGCCUACACAUCUAGCUGCUGAGAUCAGCUAUUUCAACACCCAGCCCAAUACCAUGGAUGGAGAAGACUUCUAUGUGAAGAACAAUGAUGCCCACUAUCUGCUGAGGCCGGAGACCAUAGAGUCAUUGUGGUACCUUUACCACUUAACGGGCAAUACCACCUAUCAAGACUGGGGAUGGCAAAUGUUUCAGGGUAUUGAAAAAUACUGCAAAGUGGAGAACGGUUACACUUCCAUUGGCAACGUUCGCAGUGCUACAGAUACCAAGCCAAAGGACAAAAUGGAAUCCUUUUUCCUUGGUGAAACUCUGAAGUACCUCUAUUUGCUCUUCAUGGAGGAUCAGACUGCCUUCAGUGUGGAUAAGUGGGUAUUCAAUAGUGAGGCACACCCACUUCCCAUAUAUUCCCGCUAACCAGUUGUGCCCUCCGCAAGACUGCAGCAAAAUGAUAGAAGUCAGGAGGAAUGUCUCUCGGGGGACAUUUUCAUUUCUUCUGAUGUGUGAGAACUGUGAUAUAUUGCUGAGUUACAGCGACACACGGCGGCAUCCUGAUGCUGCUGCUGCUGCUGCUGGUCCUCCUUGUCCAUUCUGCCCAAGCAGUUCUCGCAACACACAUCACCGCUCUAUUUUCACCUUCAAUUUUUAACAAAUAAAGCAAAAAACAGCAUAUGUUAA